AAUUUUUGGGUCUUUAACCAUUGCUCGAGCAAGAGCAAUCCGCUGCUUUUGUCCUCCAGAGAGUUGGGUUCCUCGGUCUCCAACCUGUACAGCCUUCUGGAAGUCUUGCAAUAAAGCUGUGAGCAUUUGCUGCAACGCAAGCAGCCGUAGCCUCUUUCUUGGUAGCAUUUUCUUUUCCCAUCAUCACAUUUUCAAGUAUGCUUGUUCCAAAUAGUACCGGCUCUUGACCAACCAUACCUAUCUGACUUCUCAGCCACUUCACUUGCAAUGUUCUUAUAUCAUGACCAUCCAAGGAUCAUAAAACCUUUCUAUAAGAGCAAAGAUCGUCGACUUUCCACCUCCACUGGUGCCUACUAAUGCUAAUGCCGUAGAAGCUGGAAUGACUAAGUUAAGAGACUGGAGAAUCUGGACAGUUGGACGAGCCGGAUAUGCAAAGGUUGGUAUCUGACCCGUCAAUCUGGAUUUGCCUUUCAAGAUCUUCUAUUCUGUCAAACUCUAUCGAAUGGAGCUCGUCUUUCACGGCCAAAGGACCACUUUUCCCAGCACUGGUCCCUUCUGUAAUAGUUGCCAAUUUUGAAGAUUUGCGGGGCUUGCCCUUAUAAUCACGAGAGGCACAGGAAUUCCCGUUGGCCCUGGAAUCAAAACUUUGAAGCUCAAGCCUUCCAGAAGGCUGGAGGCCAGAAUAAGAAUGAUCAUAUGAUGGAUUAAUGAAGCUAUGAAAAACGCCAUUAUUCGUCCGCGAUAAGUAAUAAUCAUUAGCUGAUUUCCUGAAAAUCCUACUCCCAUUUGCUGCUGAAGUGAAAGAAGCAUCAGUGGUUGUCCAUGGACUUAGUGCUGCACUAAGGUUGCGAUUAUCGUGCCACCCUGUUGGCUCAAAUUGCCAAGAGAGCUCGCCUUGCCAUGACCUGUCAAAAUAUUUGUGUCACUUUUACUUCAACAAUUUUAUAUAUACGAAAAAAAACAUUGUUUUAGCCUAUUUGUACAAUAUGACUUUCCGACAAUGGGAAUUCAAUUGAACCUA